rnacentral:rRNA from 1 species
UACGGUGGGGGCAAGCGUUGUUCGGAAUUACUGGGCGUAAAGGGCUCGUAGGUGGCCAACUAAGUCAGACGUGAAACCCCUCAGCUUAACUGGGGAACUUCGUCUGAUACUGGAUGGCUUGAGUUUGGGAGAGGGAUGCGGAAUUCCAGGUGUAGCGGUGAAAUUCGUAGAUAUCGGGAGGAACACCAGUGGCGAAGGCGGCGACCUGGUUCAAUACUGACGCUGAGGUGCGAAAGCGUGGGGAGCAAACAGG